UGGGGAAUUUUGGACAAUGGGGGCAACCCUGAUCCAGCAAUGCCGCGUGUGUGAAGAAGGCCUUCGGGUUGUAAAGCACUUUUGUCCGGGAAGAAAUCGCACCUGAUAAUACCGGGUGUGGAUGACGGUACCGGAAGAAUAAGGACCGGCUAACUACGUGCCCGCAGCCGCGGUAAUACGUAGGGUCCAAGCGUUAAUCGGAAUUACUGGGCGUAAAUCGUGCGCAGGCGGUUGUGCAAGACCGAUGUGAAAUCCCCGGGCUUAACCUGGGAAUUGCAUGGGUGACUGCACGGCUAGAGUGUGUCAGAGGGGGGUAGAAUUCCACGUGUAGCAGUGAAAUGCGUAGAGAUGUGGAGGAAUACCGAUGGCGAAGGCAGCCCCCUGGGAUAACACUGACGCUCAUGCACGAAAGCGUGGGGAGCAAACAGG
rnacentral:rRNA from 1 species